AGACGCAGGGGACGUGUCAGACGUGCGACAGGAAGGGCUCAGCGAGGCGAGAGCGAAGCUGUGAGGAAGGAAGGCAGGGUAGAGACCAGAAUCGAGGAAGAUCAGAGUGGAAGAAAAUGGAGCUGGUGUCUCAGUGAAGACAUGCCCAGAGAUGCCCAAAGAUGCCCAAUGGAUGAGCUGCUGCAACCUGUCUCAGCCAUGGGGGAUGGGAGAGGAAAGUGGAGAAAGGACAAAAAAAAAAAAUGAGUAGAGAGAAAAGAAGUGAAUACGUAAUGCAAAAAUUAAAAUUACCUGAUAAGUCAGGACAUGGGAAGUUCUGCCUCCCUAAUGGGGACCCAGGAAGAUGUAGGAAGAGAAGUAAAGCCACUUUCUAAGGACACGGAGAAAUUCAGAACACCCAGGCCGCCCAGGUUUCCUGGCUCCCAGUCUUGGCACACAGUGCUCCACCUUGCUGGGGAAUUCAGCCACCUCUGAUGGGAGAAGCUCUUCAGUCUUCCAUCUGCCAGAGGCUAAGCUGCAGGAGGUACGUGGCCAUAAGAAACCCGUGACACCCUCCCCUGGAACUGUACCCACGUCCCACACGGACAGAUGCUUCACUCCUCCACUUCUUGGCAGUACUUCCUACAGCCUCUGGGUGAACUUCUCCAGCUGGCUGUGAUCGACCUCCAGAGGGCAUGACCGUGGCUGAGACUCAGCUUUUCAUGUUCCCAGCUCUGGCUUAGGGAGUCACCCCAAGGAAGCAGCAGAUUAAGGAGAAAUGUGGACGCAUCCUUCCUGAGUGUUGGUUCCCCCAGAGAGAUGACAGACCCCAUGGCCAGCACUUCAACAUAUUUUGAGCUGUGGGAAUUAGAAUCUAGGACAAUUUGGGAGAAAAAAGGCUUUUGUCUUUAAGGCGUUUACAGCUUAAGGAGAGGAUAUCAUAUUCCAUAGCUGUGACAAAUCAAAAAAUUAAAAGUAGUCUUUCCAAGGACGGUUUCAGUAGUUUAGCCCUAAGGAGUGAGGAAUUUGUUUGGUUAGACAUACUGAAGAUGGAGACUAUACUUCUGAGAAUAAGCCUAAAGCCUGUGAGUCUCGAAAGCCAAUUUACACACCACGCAGAAAACUGACGGGUCUCAGGAAAACUAAAAUGAGGAAAGCCAGCAGAGGCCCAGGCAGACGUCAAAUUAAUCUCUAGAAACAGAG
rnacentral:antisense_RNA from 1 species